rnacentral:rRNA from 1 species
UGGGGAAUAUUGCGCAAUGGGCGGAAGCCUGACGCAGCGACGCCGCGUGGGGGAUGACGGCCUUCGGGUUGUAAACCUCUUUCAGCUCCGACGAAGCUUUCGGGUGACGGUAGGGGCAGAAGAAGCGCCGGCCAACUACGUGCCAGCAGCCGCGGUAAUACGUAGGGCGCAAGCGUUGUCCGGAUUUAUUGGGCGUAAAGAGCUCGUAGGCGGUUUGUCACGUCGUCCGUGAAAACUACAGGCUUAACCUGUGGCUUGCGGUCGAUACGGGCUGACUGGAGUGCGGUAGGGGAGACUGGAAUUCCUGGUGUAGCGGUGAAAUGCGCAGAUAUCAGGAGGAACACCGGUGGCGAAGGCGGGUCUCUGGGCCGUUACUGACGCUGAGGAGCGAAAGCGUGGGGAGCGAACAG